rnacentral:rRNA from 1 species
CAGCCGCCGCGGUAAUACGUAGGGUGCAAGCGUUAAUCGGAAUUACUGGGCGUAAAGCGUGCGCAGGCGGUUAUAUAAGACAGAUGUGAAAUCCCCGGGCUCAACCUGGGAACUGCAUUUGUGACUGUAUAGCUAGAGUACGGCAGAGGGGGGUAGAAUUCCACGUGUAGCAGUGAAAUGCGUAGAGAUGUGGAGGAAUACCGAUGGCGAAGGCAGCCCUCUGGGCCAAUACUGACGCUCAUGCACGAAAGCGUGGGGAGCAAACAGGAUUAGAUACCCCUGUAGUCCCUGUCUCUUAUAC